UGCCAGCCGCCGCGGUAAUACGUAGGUGGCGAGCGUUAAUCGGAUUUAUUGGGCGUAAAGGGUCCGUAGGAUGUCUGUCAAGUCGGGUGUGAAAUCACACGGCUCAACCGUGUUAAGCCGUAGAAACUGCGAGACUUGAGGCUGGGAGGGGCUGGUGGAAUUCCCUGUGUAGCGGUGAAAUGCGUAGAGAUGGGGGAGAACACUCGUGGCGAAGGCGGCCAGCUGGACCAGUUCUGACGCUGAGACGCGAAAGCGUGGGGAGCAAACAGGAUUAGAUA
rnacentral:rRNA from 1 species